UGUAUUACUAAAGACUUCACAAGAAUGCCUCGUGGUUUGGAUGAACUUGCAAACUAGAAAGCUACAAAAUUUCAUCAAUACUUAUUGUACACUGGUGUUUUAGUCUUAAAAAACCAUAUUGGUGAUGAUUUUUAUUACACGUUUUUAGUCUUUCAUUGUGCAAUAAGGCUUUUUUUUUCCUCAAAACGUUUCUAUAAUGUGCACAGUUUGCUUCAUGUAUAUGAAUGCGUCAAACAUCACGGUUUGUUGUACAGCUUUUCAGCAUAUGGUUUUGAGAACCACUUGCAAAUGAUAAAAAAAAGAUGUUCGCAAACCAACUGAUAUCAUGAAUCAAUUACACAGACGAAAUAUCGAAAUUUAAAAGAAGAGCCAAAAACAUGGGGUUAAAAGAAAAAAUUGACUUAUUUAUGGUUACUUAGGUGAUGAAUACUGGUUGAGUAUUAAAACACCAGACAACAUUUGUCUUGUAAUUGAAUAUUGAAAACACUAUCUACAAAAUAAUAUCAUUGCCCUUUGAAAAUAAAGUUCUUUUAAUGCCAAUUCUUCAUAGUUGCAUUUAAAGUUGUAAAAAGCUAAAAAAAUCUAAUAUUCUUAAUAUAGCCAACACUUAUUAUCUACACAAUUCUAACUGUUAUUGUCUACACAAUCGUACAACAAUUGUAAUGGAAGGCAGAAAUCUAAAACAUCUAAAUGCUUGCAACAGACUUUAUAAUUACUGUGCCAAAUCAAUGCUCUUUUUGCAUAGAACUCAAUGGUAGUUUUUGUUCAAUAUGGUGUUUCUUCUUUAUUAACAAAAUUGUUUAGUUUAUAGAAAUGAUCAACACUCAAAAUCAAGUAAUGGCUAGAAAAAUGGCUGAACAAAAAAUAUAUAGCAACAGCUCUCAAAAUUACAAAUGACAACAGAACAACAAAACAAAAUAAUAGUGGAAAUGUUAGCAGACCACAAAAUGCAGCUGCAAACCCUCAAUAGUUCCCAAAAAAUGUAACAUUGUUAUACAUUGUAUAACUGUGAAUUGGAGCAUAAUUUAAGUUUUCUUUUUAAAUAGAAUUUAUUAUUUAUCUUUCCUUUUUUCAUUGAAAAGUACCUGCAAAAUGAAUUAUUUAUUUAUAUGUUUUAUACAAUACACAAAUCCGUUGUUUAAUUUCUUGUUUUUCUCUGAGUGUAUAUAUCGUUAAAACUGUUAUACUUUCGUAGCUGUUCAUAUUAAAUUCACAUUAAAAUAAUCUAUAAAUUAUUAUUUAUCAUAUUAAGCUUAAAGUGCUAAGUAAGAUUAACAGUAUUAAAAAUAUGUACACUCAGAGAAAAGCGCAAAAGUACUCUAUGGACUAUUUUGGAUUAGUUUUGAACUACCCCUGGUCUGUUAUGGACUACUUUUUAGACGCGUGCAUGAAUUAGUCGCAUUAUUUGGAGGGAAUAGUUACAAAGAUUCAAUUGUUCACUAAAACACUCAAUAGCAUUGUUAAAGAAGCAUCUCACAUCAAAAUUUUGGCUCAGAGUUUAAUCAAUUUUGUUGAUAACAUUUUGUAAAAUUAACAUAACAAGUAACAAAAAAAAAAAACGGAUUGAUGGACAUGUAUACAUUUUUUAAACUAGCACGCACAAUAACAUUAGCAUGUAACUGGUACAGCACUGUACAAAAAUGAUCCCCUAUGUCACUUAGAAUAUGGCUGAGUCCUAUAAGAAAUCCAAUUUAAUAUUUUAUCGAAAUUUAAAUUUUGCAAGAGUUAAUAAUCAAAGCCCAUUGAAGUUGCACAACAACAUCUAUUAGUUUACGCACAUUUAAUAGUUUUACUUCAAAAUAUUUCCAGUAACCGUACAAUGUAUCAAUUCACAUUUCAAACAAUUUCCCAGAUCACAAUAAUCGUCAUCAACUAAGUUCACCUGAGGGUGUUUGUCAGUUCACCUACAAGACGCGUCCGCACGGCGGAUAGGGGGGAUGGAUAAUCACACUAUUUUGCU